rnacentral:rRNA from 1 species
AGCGAACGCUGGCGGCAGGCUUAACACAUGCAAGUCGAGCGGGCACUUCGGUGUCAGCUGCAGACGGGUGAGUAACACGUGGGAACGUACCCUUCGGUUCGGAAUACUGCUGUGACACUAGCGCUAAUACCGGAUACGCCCUUUUGGGGAAAGGUUUACUGACGAAGGAUCGGCCCGCGUCGGUUUAGCUUGUGGGUGUGGUAAUGGCCUACAAAGGCUACGAUCAGUAGCUGGUUUGAGAGGAAGAUCAGCCACACUGGGACUGAGACACGGCCCAGAAUACUAGGGGAGGCAGCAGUGGGGAAUAUAGGAAAAUGGGCGCAAGCAUGAUCCAGCCAUGCCGGGUGAGUGAUGAAGGCGUUAGGGUUGUAAAGCUCUUUUGUCCGGGACGAUAAUGACGGUACCGGAAGAAUAAGCCCCGGCUAACUUCGUG